AGUUUAAGAGAUUAGGGAUUUAUCCAAAAAUCAGGUUUAGUAUUUAGGAUUUAAGGUUUAGGUUUGCUUUUUUUUGUAAUUGUAUUAUUUUAUUUUGAAAACAUAAUAUGGUUUCACAAUUUUUAUUGGCUAUUAUGUUGUUGAUGAACCUAAGAAAAAAUGUUUAACAAAUGUGUUAAUGACUCCCACAAGAAAGAAAAGUAUGAGUACAGUUACGUGCCAUAUAUCCGGAAAUAUAAACGCAUGUCAGGCUAACGUUCUACUUUUGAUAAGUACACGGAAGGUUUUUCCUCCGAUUACUUUUGGAACCUAGCUCAAUAUUUGUUUACACCAUCUGAGCUUAUAUUCGCUGAAAGCCAAAAAUUGAGAAUAACAAGUGAAGAAAAAGCUUACCAAAUUCCAAAUACAUGAAAUUCAUGAAUGCUGAGCUUCCAAAACAAAUUUGAUCUUGCAACCAGGAAUUAAAUGGGCCCAUUUUUUCGUCUUCCAGCAGUUUUAAAGGGUAAACAAGAACCAAAAAAAAAAAAAGGAUAAAACGAUGGUAUUUGUUAUGAACUUAACGUUUAGGAAUCUAUAAGUUGUGUGUAUUAUUACUCAAUCAUAAGGUGUCCUUAUAUAUGGAAGUUACAAAGAGAUAAAAGAAAACACAUAAAUAUGGAAAGUGUACAAAUACAAGGAAAAUGAAAUAGAGUUUCAUUUUCUCCAAAUCCUAAGUCGCAUUUCUCUUCUC
rnacentral:lncRNA from 1 species